rnacentral:rRNA from 1 species
AACGAACGCUGGCGGCAGGCUUAACACAUGCAAGUCGAACGCAUCCUUCGGGGUGAGUGGCAGACGGGUGAGUAACGCGUGGGAACGUGCCCUUCAGUUCGGGAUAACCCAGGGAAACUUGGGCUAAUACCGGAUACGUGCGAGAGCAGAAAGAUUUAUCGCUGAGGGAUCGGCCCGCGUCUGAUUAGCUAGUUGGUGGGUUAAUGGCCCACCAAGGCGACGACCAGUAGCUGGUCUGAGAGGAUGAUCAGCCACAUUGAGUCUGAUACACGGCCUAAACUCCUACGUGUGGCAGCAGUGGGUGAUAUUGGACAAUGGGCGCAUGCUUGAUCCAGCCAUGCCGCGUUGGUGAUGAAGGCCUUAGGGUUGUAAAGCUCUUUCGGCCGGGACGAUAAUGACGGUACCGGAAGAAGAAGCACCGGCUAACUUCGUGCCAGCCGCCGCAGUAA